rnacentral:tRNA from 1 species
GUCUUUGUAGUAUAUAAAAUACCCUGGUCUUGUAAACCAGAAAAGGAGGACUACCCCUCCCCAAGACU